CAGCACCUCAAGUGGUCAGGAUGAUUAUUGGGCCUAAAGCAUCCGUAGCCUGCUUUGUUAGUUUUCGGUUAAAUCCAUACGCUCAACGUAUAGGCUGCCGGGAAUACUGCAAAGCUAGGGAGUGGGAGAGGUAGACGGUACUCGGUAGGAAGGGGUAAAAUCCUUUGAUCUAUUGAUGACCACCUGUGGCGAAGGCGGUCUACCAGAACACGUCCGACGGUGAGGGAUGAAAGCUGGGGGAGCAAACCGGAUUAGAUACCCGAGUAGUCC
rnacentral:rRNA from 1 species